CCUACGGGAUGCAGCAGUGAGGAAUAUUGGUCAAUGGGCGCGAGCCUGAACCAGCCAAGUCGCGUGAAGGAUGACUGCCCUACGGGUUGUAAACUCCUUUUAUAAAGGAAUAAAGUGAGGCACGUGUGCCUUUUUGUAUGUCCUUUAUGAAUAUGGAUCGGCUAACUCGGUGCCAGCGGCGGCGUUAAUACGGAGGAUCCGAGCGUUAUCCGGAUUUAUUGGGUUUAAAGGGAGCGUAGAUGGGUUGUUAAGUCAGUUGUGAAAGUUUGCGGCUCAACCGUAAAAUUGCAAUUGAUACUGGCAUGCUGGAUGACAGAUGAGGUAGGCGGAAUGCGAGGUGUAGCGGUGAAAUGCUUAGAUAUCACGAAGAACUCCGAUUGCGAAGGCAGCUUACUAAACUGCCACUGACAUUGAUGCUCGAAAGUGUGGGUAUCAAACAGGAUUAGAUACCCUAGUAGUC
rnacentral:rRNA from 1 species